rnacentral:lncRNA from 1 species
ACAAAGAAUUUCUUAACACAAAACUGGAAACAAAAAUUCAGCUACAUCAAAAUAAUAAAACUGGUGUUUCUCCAAAGAUAUCAAGAUAUCAAGAGAGUGAAAACAGACGAGAAAAACUGGAGGAAGAUUCUCACUACACAUAUAGGGGACUCAGGGUUAGUAGUAUCCAGACAUAUGAGCUCCUUUGAAUCAAUAAGAAAAAGAUUUUAAAAAUUCUAAUAUAAAAAUGGACAAAUCUGAAGAGCCCUACACAGAAGAACACAUCUAGGUGGUGAGUAAACAUAUGAAAAUCUGCUCAACCUCAUCAGUUCUAGAGAAAUAUGAUGUUUUAUACACACCCAGAUUGGCAAAAAUUAAAAAGUCUGACGACAACAAGGUUGGUGAGAAUUUGUAAUGAUGGUAACUAUCAAACACUGUUAGAUGGCAAUCCGGAACUAUCCAGUAAGGCUGAACGUGACGCAUCAACUCUACCAUCCAGGGAUGGUAAGGUGUGUGGUAAGCAGACUUCUGAGAUGGCUCCCAACGAUCUCCACUUCCUGGUUUUCAUGUCCACGCAUCAUUCCCUCCUCUUAAGGGUGGGCUGCACCUAGUGACUUGCUUCUAACUAACAGAAUACAGCAAAAGGGAGGGGAUGCCACCUCUGAGAUUUGGUUUCAAAAGCCUGACUUCUGCCUAGCUCUCAUUCUCUCUUUCUCUUCUUGCUUACUUGCAAGCAGCAAGUUGCUGAAGCAAGCUGUACCUAUGGAGAGACCCACAGGGCAAGGAACUAAGGGCUCCAGCCAACAACUAGAGAGGAACUGAGGCCUUCAGUGCAACAGCCCAGGAGGAACUGACACUUGCCAACAAUCAAGUGCAUGAACUUGGAAGCGGAUUCUUCCCCAGAAGAUGACUGCACCUCCUGCUGACAUGCUGAUAGCAGCCGUGUGAAAGCCCAGAACCAGAGGUCCCAGCUAAGCCACAUCCGGAUUCCUGACCCACAGAAACUGUGAGAUAGUAAAUGUACGUUGUUUUAAGCUGUUUAAUCUGGGGGUAAUUUUUUAUGCUGCAGAUAACUAAUACAUCUAAGUGUAAUUCCUAGCGCAAAGCUUCCCAGCAGGAGAACCAAGACACACUGGUAUGCGGAAUAUGGAUUACCGACGAGCCCAGGAGAUUGGUCCUUCAACCCCUGGGGCUGCCAGGAGCAGGGCUCAUCGCAUCCUUCUUUCUUUCCACUUGAUUUGCCCAAAGUGAGGAUGAUGGCAGUAACGAUGCCAGUGACAGUUUGCGAGCUGUACGUGGUCCAUCACUAGAGCAUCUCCAGCCAGUCCAGUCAUCUCCCAGCAUUAUUCUGUCCAAUCAGCUGGAAGAGGAUCUCAAUCUAAUGCUGUAUGGUCCAGCUGACUAUCAGAGCAUCCAGCAUUGCAUCAGCAACAAGGGUUAGGUGGGGUGGAUAAGGGAGGGGAUGGGAGCUGAGGGGGCAAUGUAGCUGACUGCCUUGAACAAGUCUCUCUUUCUGUAGACCUGCUUUUACUCUUUCUCCAGGAUGCAGUAAAAAAUAGCUAAUUAAAUUAUUUUUCUUGGGGACAAGGAUUGUGUCUUCAUUGGUAUCAUUCAUUGCCUGAACGUGUUAAAAAUGGUUACUUUCUGUUCUUUUAAAUUUUAAAAUAAACUUUAAAUGUCAAUAUCUUCAAAAUAAAGGCAGUAAGCAC